GACGAACGCUGGCGGCGUGCCUAAUACAUGCAAGUCGAGCGAAUGGAUUAAGAGCUUGCUCUUAUGAAGUUAGCGGCGGACGGGUGAGUAACACGUGGGUAACCUGCCCAUAAGACUGGGAUAACUCCGGGAAACCGGGGCUAAUACCGGAUAACAUUUUGAACCGCAUGGUUCGAAAUUGAAAGGCGGCUUCGGCUGUCACUUAUGGAUGGACCCGCGUCGCAUUAGCUAGUUGGUGGGGUAACGGCUCACCAAGGCAACGAGGCGUAGCCACCCUGGCAGGUUGAUCGGCCACACUGGGACUGAGACACGGCCCAGACUCCUACGGGAGGCAGCAGUAGGGAGUCUUCCGCAAUGGACAGAAGUCUGACGGAGCAACGCCGCUUGAGUGAUGAAGGCUUUCGGGUCGUAAAACUCUGUUGUUAGGGAAGAACAAGUGCUAGUUGAAUAAGCUGGCACCUUGACGGUACCUAACCAGAAAGCCACGGCUAACUACGUGCCAGCAGCCGCCGUAA
rnacentral:rRNA from 1 species